ACACAGAGAGUCAGGGCCAGCCAAAUGGAAAUUGUCUGCUCAUAGGAGAAGCCCCGGGGCCAUACUCUGAAAGAGGUAGCUUGGCGACAGACAAAUUUUCUAAGAGAGACAGUAUGGGGAGAAGAAAAGGCAAAGGUCCAAGACUCAAAAAAUGAAUGAAUGUUAAAACAUCAGAAGAGCAAGAUAAACGAGUUAAGAAGAUGGCACAGGAGCCGCAGAGAGGUGGAAGAUGGCUUGGAAGAGUGAAAACAGUUUUGCUGAGGACAGGUAAGGCACUGAAUGGAUUUCAGAAAGUCAUAGGGCCUGGGUGGAAGCCCCAACACAACAGCAGAGUGGAAUCAUGGAUUGGCUAUUCUAUAAUCCAUUCGCCGUGACUGAGGGUGAGAAGUGGAAUUCUAUUUGAGGCUAUAUUUGAGAGCCAUCUUUGAAAAUGAAGAAGUAGUUUGGGCUCUGGGUAUCUUUUCUUUCUGAAGUAGGUGCAUCUGAGAAAAAGGGCAGAGACCUCCCCAAAGGUCAAACAGAAGCAAGGCAGCAGGCAGCAUUGCAGGGGAGGCAACUGCUGGGAAAGACACAGCAAGGAAGAGCUAUUAUGGGAUGCCUCUCUGUGAGGAGAGAUGAGGUGGGGAUGGUCCAUGAAGAUGAAUGACUGCUUCCUAAGACACUGUGGCGAGGAGGCUGUGGAAAGAUGGCAGCAGCAGACUGUGGAGAGAAGUCAAUUCACUGUGAGUGGUCAGACAAUACCUGAACCAAGAAGACACAUGGGACAACCUCUUGGGAACAGAAAGUUCAGAAAAGGGCUAAGAAAUAGGAUGGAGAUAGGGAUACUCAAUGAUCUAGUCAUAAGGGAUCAAAAUGGGAAUGCAAUUAGGAAGUAGAAGGCCUGAGAUAGACAGCAGCCACUGGGAUUGGAAGCAAUUUUAGGAUGAUUUCCCAAAGGGUAGAGAUGUUCCAACAAUAGCUUGAUGAUAAAUUUUGUAUUUUUUCAGGGCAGCUUGGCACUUCCCCAGGUAAUCCAUUCUCAGAGUUUCUGUUCAAUCAAAAACUGUAGCUUCUUUGGUUUAGGAGUUUCCUGAGCCUGUCUCAGGGCAAUAACGCCUUCUGGGUUAACUGGAGACUUCGUCAGAGACAGAUGGGAGCUAACUCCAAAGAGUCAUCAUGAUAACUGCGGUUGUUCAGAUUCUUUAUUUCUGGGCAUCACAUAGAAUUUAGAUUGGGACUCCUUUUCUAUCUAACUGAGGGAUGGGAAUCAUAAUUGCAUAUUUAAUUUUGUCAUUAGAA
rnacentral:lncRNA from 1 species